GAUGAACGCUGGCGGCGUGCCUAAUACAUGCAAGUCGAGCGAACAGACGAGGAGCUUGCUCCUCUGACGUUAGCGGCGGACGGGUGAGUAACACGUGGAUAACCUACCUAUAAGACUGGGAUAACUUCGGGAAACCGGAGCUAAUACCGGAUAAUAUAUUGAACCGCAUGGUUCAAUAGUGAAAGACGGUUUUGCUGUGACUUAUAGAUGGAUCCGCGCCGCAUUAGCUAGUUGGUAAGGUAACGGCUUACCAAGGCAACGAUGCGUAGCCGACCUGAGAGGGGGAUCGGCCACACUGGAACUGAGACACGGACCAGACUCCUACGGGAGGCAGCAGUAGGGAAUCUUCCGCAAUGGGCGCAAGCCUGACGGAGCAACGCCGCGUGAGUGAUGAAGGUCUUCGGAUCGUAAAACUCUGUUAUUAGGGAAGAACAAAUGUGUAAGUAACUAUGCACGUCUUGACGGUACCUAAUCAGAAAGCCACGGCUAACUACGUG
rnacentral:rRNA from 1 species